rfam:Streptomyces sp. DI166 genome assembly, contig: Ga0115233_1059
GAUAGGUCUCUGUCGCUACUGUGAUUGGACACUGACACAGAGUCAACUAGCCUUGUGUGCGCGGUUCUUCGCGCGCGGAACCGAAGGCGGUCCGAGCCACGAGGGGGGAGGCUCGGACCGCCGGUU